rnacentral:antisense_RNA from 13 species
AAUAACCAAAUAUCACACUUGGGCUAAGGGUCAAGUUGGUAAUUUUUUUGACAUCUCCCCCCCACCUUGGGUGCCCAGGUUUCAUAUAUGCCUCCAAAAUACAGAGCCUUGAGUACUAGAAGAAAAGCACCUAUACCUAAUAAAAUUAAGUGAACAUACAAAAUUGUAGUCAUUUUAUUUCUAUCUUUCCA